CCCUAUGGGGUGCAGCAGUCGCGAAACCUUUACAAUGCACAAAAGUGUGAUAGGGGAAUCCCAAGUGCUAAUGCUUUGCAUUGGCUUUUGUUAAGAGUAAAUAUCUUAGCGAAUAAGUGGUGGGUAAGACUGGUGCCAGCCGCCGCGGUAACACCAGCGCCACGAGUGGUAACCAUAUUUAUUGGGCCUAAAGCGUCCGUAGCUGGUUUUGUAAAUUCUUUGUUAAAUCAACAAGCUUAACUUGUUGCCUGCAGAGAACACUGCAAGACUUGGAACCGGGAGGAGUCAGAAGUAUGUCAGGGGGCGCGGUAAAAUGCAUUAAUCCCUGAUAGACUACCUAUGGCGAAGGCAUCUGACCAGAACGGGUUCGACAGUGAGGGACGAAGGCUAGGGGAGCGAACCGGAUUAGAUACCCGAGUAGUCCUAGCAGUAAACGCUGCGAGCUAGAUGUCAGAUAUUUUUCGUGAAUAUCUGGUGUCGUAGAGAAGUCGUUAAGCUCGCCGCCUGGGAAGUAUGGUCGCAAGACUGAAACUUAAAGGAAUUGGCGGGGGAGCGCUACAAGGGGUGCGGCGUGCGGUUUAAUCUAACUCUACACAGAAAAUCUCACCAGAAGCGACGGCAGGAUGAAAGUCAGGUUAAAGUUCUUACUAGACAAGCCGAGAAGUGGUGCAUGGCC
rnacentral:rRNA from 1 species